rnacentral:rRNA from 1 species
UGCGUAGGUGGCGCCGUAAGUGGGGUGUGAAAUCUCGGGGCUUAACUCCGAAACUGCAUUCCAUACUGCGGUGCUUGAGGACUGGAGAGGAGACUGGAAUUUACGGUGUAGCGGUGAAAUGCGUAGAUAUCGUAAGGAAGACCAGUGGCGAAGGCGGGUCUCUGGACAGUUCCUGACGCUGAGGCACGAAGGCCAGGGGAGCAAACG